UGGACGGAUAGGGUGAAUCAUCGCAUCGGUUCGAUUCUCUCGCGUGAAAAAUCGUGGGGCAGAUACAAGAUGAUUAUUAAAAAAUUUGCACAAGAGAAAACAUAUUUAAAGGAAAUUGAUAUAACCUGACUCGUGGAAAGAAAUAAACCAUUUUUGUAAAAUGGCCAAUAUAAAUCUCCCGAAUUCCAAAAGAUAACGUCUGUAAAGAUCUGAGAGUUUCAAGAUUAUUAAAAAAUCUGCACAAGUAGGAGCAUUUUUUAAGGAAAUUGGUAUAACCUGACUCGUGGAAUAACCCAUUUUUUAAAAAUAGCCGAUAUAAAUCAGUCUCGAAUUCCAAAAGAAAACAUUCACAAAGAUCUGAGAGAGUUUCGAGGAAAGGAAAACAGCAUGCAGAAUGAAGAGAUUGAAUUCAUUGAUUGAUUCAUUCAAUCUUGUUUGAAAAGAACUAUCAGCACUGAAAGAACUUUUUCUUGUGAAAUAAUAUGAUAGUAAGCUGCUUCAAAAAUAACGUUGCCAAAUCUAUCCCAGUUUAUCGUGCAUAAAUAUCUGCAAUGCGUUAUUUUUAUGUAUAUUUCUUCUUUUGUAUUUGUGUGUAUUAUGAAUCGUAUUUUUGUUACUAAAUGCGGUUAGAUCUAUGUAUGUAUGUUCCUUUAACUUCUACGUGAGCAUAAGGCCUCUAAUGGGAUUUCAAUAAUAAUGGAUUUUUUUUCCGGAAUUAGCCUAAUGUCCAACUCUCAGUCUGGAGGUUACAUACAUAAUACAUAUAUCCAUUGACCUACAGUUUAACGCCGAAUCCGAACGGCGAACGCGAAAAAUCGCGUAUAUGGGGCGCAGGUGGAAUCGAAUCCAGAUCGCGACGCGAGUCAACCACACCGAGUGGCAAGCCACCCAAAUAGCA